rnacentral:rRNA from 1 species
GUGGCGGGUGGCGAGCAUAAGCCGUGUGGCGUAUGCGUAGCGAAAGCGAGUCUUAAAAGGCGUUUUUAGUCGCUUGUCCUGGACCCGAAGCGGGAUGAUCUAGCCCUGGGCAGGUUGAAGCGCGGGUAAGACCGCGUGGAGGACCGAACCCACCUGGGUUGAAAACCGGGGGGAUGACCUGGGGCUAGGGGUGAAAGGCCAAUCAAAUUCCGUGAUAGCUGGUUCUCUCCGAAAUGCAUUUAGGUGCAGCGUCGGUCGAUUGCGUCGCGGGGGUAGAGCUACCGGAUGCUUGCGGGCCCUUGUUGGGUACCAACAGCAGCCGAACUCCGAAUACCGUUGACGUGUAUUCCGGCAGUGAGUCGGCGGGGGAUAAGCUCCGUCGUCGAGAGGGAGACAGCCCAGACCGUCGUCUAAGGUCCCGAAGCGUGUGCUAAGUGGGAAAGGAUGUGGAGUCGCAUAGACAGCCAGGAGGUUGGCUCAGAAGCAGCCAUCCUUUAAAGAGUGCGUAACAGCUCACUGGUCUAGUGGUUCCGCGCCGACAAUGUAGCGGGGCUCAAGCACACCACCGAAGACGCGGCAGCAAUCUUCAUGGUUGCUGGGUAGGAGAGCGUCCUGCGAGGGGCGAAGCGGCCGGGUGACCGUGCCGUGGACUUCGUGGGAGUGAGAAUGCAGACAUGAGUAGCGAGAGACGGGUGAGGAUCCCGUCCGCUGGAUGACCAAGGGUUCCGGGGCCACGUUCGUCGUCCCCGGGUGAGUCGGGUCCUAAGGCGAGGCCGACAGGCGUAGUCGAAUGGAUGAACGGGUGGAUAUUCCCGUACCGACCAUGGACCGGCAAAACCGAGACGGUGAGUACUAACCUCCGCCUCGUGGUGGUUCCUUCCUUCGGGUUGGUUCCGCCGCGUGGUGUUGGGACUGUAGCCGUAGUAGGUCAGCGCAGGGGUGACACGGAAUGGGAGCCGGCCGCGGAGGUGGUUUUCCGUGGUCAAGCACGCAGCCAGUCAUGUAGGCAAAUCCGCAUGGCGCGCAUGGCGAGGUGUGAUGAUGGGAGCCGUUAUGGCUCGAUAUCCGGUUGUCCAGGCCGUCGAGAAAAGCCUCGGCGUGAGGGCCAUGGCCGCCCGUACCCCAAACCGACACUGGUGGUCAGGUAGAGAAUACCAAGGCGAUCGAGCGAAUCCUGGUCAAGGAACUCGGCAAAUCACUCCCGUGCCUUCGGUAUAAGGGAGACCCGCUGGGGUGAACCGGCUAGCCCGGGGAGCUUUGGUGGGUGGCACAGACCAGGGGGUAGCGACUGUUUACCAAAAACACAGGUGCAUGCGAAGGCGAAAGCCGCUGUAUAUGCACUGACGCCUGCCCGGUGCCGGAAGGUUAAGAGGAUCCGUCAGUCCCUUCGGGGACGAAGCGGUGAAUUCAAGCCCCGGUAAACGGCGGUGGUAACUAUAACCAUCCUAAGGUAGCGAAAUUCCUUGUCGGGUAAGUUCCGACCUGCACGAAUGGCGUAACGACUUCCCCACUGUCUCGACCAGGAGCUCGGCGAAAUUGCAGUACGAGUAAAGAUGCUCGUUAAGCGCAGAAGGACGAAAAGACCCCGGGACCUUUACUAUACCUUGGUAUUGGCGUUAGGCGCGGAUUGUGUAGCAUAGGCGGGAGGCUUCGAAGCGGGUGCGCCAGCAUUCGUGGAGCCGCAAGGUGAAAUACCGCUCUGUUCUCGUUUGACGUCUAACCUCGACAAGUCAUCCUUGUCAGGGACAGUGCCUGGCGGGUAGUUCAACUGGGGCGGUUGCCUCCCAAAGAGUAACGGAGGCGCUCAAAGGUCCGCUCAGCCCGGUUGGCAAUCGGGUGUCGAGUGUAAUCGCACAAGCGGGCUUGACUGCGAGGACGACGGUCCGAGCAGGGACGAAAGUCGGAGAUAGUGAUCCGGUGCCGGCGCACGGGCGCGGCAUCGCUCAACGGAUAAAAGGUACUCCGGGGAUAACAGGCUGAUCAUUCCCAAGAGUCCAUAUCGACGGGAUGGUUUGGCACCUCGA